AUUGUAAUGGCAGAUUUAUGCGUUAGAUUUAAGCUCUAAAGACGAAUAUUAUUCUUACAAUA
rnacentral:tRNA from 1 species